AGGUCUGUGAUCUGAGCUGCAGAAGGCAAGCAGCCAGAAUGACAAAGGGCCAAGGAGAAUACACUUAAAUGAUAUGAUCUUGCUCGGAUUGGUACUGUUUCCUUUGGAGCAAAGGUUUUGGAACCAAACUGUAAAAUGGUGCACUGCUGGAGAUGGACAAUGCAGCCAACAUGAUCAAGGUGUCUAACUGAAAAAAAUGUUCAAACUUCCAUCUGUGCGGCAAGGUAACUAUCUUAAUUGUUCAUGUAAUGCAGAAAGGCUAAUUAAAUCACUGCACCAACUAUAACAU